AGAGUUUGAUCCUGGCUCAGGAUGAACGCUGGCGGCGUGCUUAACACAUGCAAGUCGAACGAGAAUCCGGGGAAGGAGGCUUCGGCCAACGGAACUGGAGGAAAGUGGCGGACGGGUGAGUAACGCGUGAGUAACCUGCCUUGGAGAGGGGAAUAACACAUCGAAAGAUGUGCUAAUACCGCAUGAAAUGUCUGAAUCGCAUGGUUCUGGACAUCAAAGAUUUAUCGCUCUGAGAUGGACUCGCGUCUGAUUAGCUGGUUGGCGGGGUAACGGCCCACCAAGGCGACGAUCAGUAGCCGGACUGAGAGGUUGGCCGGCCACAUUGGGACUGAGACACGGCCCAGACUCCUACGGGAGGCAGCAGUGGGGAAUAUUGGGCAAUGGGCGCAAGCCUGACCCAGCAACGCCGCGUGAAGGAAGAAGGCCCUCGGGUUGUAAACUUCUUUUCUAUAGGACGAAGAAGUGACGGUACUAUAGGAAUAAGCCACGGCUAACUACGUG
rnacentral:rRNA from 1 species